rnacentral:rRNA from 1 species
ACGAGGAUCCAUUGGAGAGCAAGUCUGGUGCCAGCAGUCGCGGUAAUUCCAGCUCCAAUAGCGUAUAUUAAAGUUGUUGCGGUUAAAAAGCUCGUAGUUGGAUCUCAGCUCCGGCCGGACGGUCCGCCUACCGGUGGUUACUGUUCGCUGCCGAGCGUUCAGGGGGCUUCGUCCUAUGAUCUUCACCGGUUGUCGGUCGGGGCCCCCACGUUUACUUUGAAAAAAUUAGAGUGCUCAAAGCAGGCGCGACGCCUGAAUAAUUGUGCAUGGAAUAAUGGAAUAGGACCUCGGUUCUAUUUUGUUGGUUUUCGGAACACGAGGUAAUGAUUAAGAGGGACAGACGGGGGCAUUCGUAUUGCGACGCUAGAGGUGAAAUUCUUGGACCGUCGCAAGACGAACUACUGCGAAAGCAUUUGCCAAGAAUGUUUCCAUUAAUCAAGAACGAAAGUUAGAGGUUCGAAGGCGAUCAGAUACCGCCCUAGUUCUAACCAUAAACGAUGCCAGCCAGCGAUCCGGCUGUGUUCCU